rnacentral:misc_RNA from 1 species
CAGAGUUCGUGCCCUCACGGGUAGAUCUCCCACCCUGUGUUAUUAUACCUUUGUUGCUUUGGCGGGCCGCCCUCGGCUACCGGCCCCGGCUGGUACGCGCCCGCCAGAGGACCCAAAACCCUGAAUAUUAGUGUCGUCUGAGUAAAAAGUUUAAUAUUUA